rnacentral:rRNA from 1 species
GAUGAACGCUGGCGGCGUGCCUAAUACAUGCCAGUCGAGCGAACAGACGAGGAGCUUGCUCCUCUGACGUUAGCGGCGGACGGGUGAGUAACACGUGGAUAACCUACCUAUAAGACUGGGAUAACUUCGGGAAACCGGAGCUAAUACCGGAUAAUAUAUUGAACCGCAUGGUUCAAUAGAGAAAGACGGUUUUGCUGUCACUUAUAGAUGGAUCCGCGCCGCAUUAGCUAGUUGGUAAGGUAACGGCUUACCAAGGCAACGAUGCGUAGCCGACCUGAGAGGGUGAUCGGCCACACUGGAACUGAGACACGGUCCAGACUCCUACGGGAGGCAGCAGUAGGGAAUCUUCCGCAAUGGGCGAAAGCCUGACGGAGCAACGCCGCGUGAGUGAUGAAGGUCUUCGGAUCGUAAAACUCUGUUAUUAGGGAAGAACAAAUGUGUAAGUAACUAUGCACGUCUUGACGGUACCUAAUCAGAAAGCCACGGCUAACUACGUG